rnacentral:rRNA from 1 species
CCUACGGGUGGCAGCAGUGAGGAAUAUUGGUCAAUGGCCGGAAGGCUGAACCAGCCAUGCCGCGUGAAGGUCAGUGCCCUAUGGGCGUUAAACUUCUUUUGUGCGGGAGCAAUAAUGGUCACGUGUGGCCAGACGAGAGUACCGUACGAAUAAGCAUCGGCUAACUCCGUGCCAGCAGCCGCGGUAAUACGGGGGAUGCAAGCGUUAUCCGGAUUUGUUGGGUGUAAAGGGUGCGUAUGCGGGGAGGUAAGUCAGCGGUGAAAUGCCCCCGCUCAACGGGGUGAAGUGCCAUUGAUACUGCCUUGCUGGAAUGCGGAUGCCGUGGGAGGAAUGUGUGGUGUAGCGGUGAAAUGCAUAGAUAUCACACAGAACACCGAUUGCGAAGGCAUCUCACGAAUCCGCGAUUGACGCUGAUGCACGAAAGCGUGGGUAUCGAACAGGAUUAGAUACCCUUGUAGUC